AGAGGAUUUUCAAAGAUGGCGGAGAAAUGUAGGAGAGUAAUGUGAACAUGUCACUAUACUAAAAUGGAUACUCGAUCGUUCUUUAGCUCUGCUGGAAAGGCAGCGAAACAAGGCGCUUCGAAAGUAGAAAAUAAGCGCGGCAAAGAUUCUACUGCGAAGUCAUUAUCGAAACAUGAUGUAGGAAAGAGCCGAACGAAAAGCAAGAGUUUAUCAAGCAGUGAAGAUGAUGACAUUGCCUGAAAACAAAAACCAAAAGAAAAUCAGAAGAGGAAGAAGAAAGGAAAAAACAUUAUUGACUCAGAUUCUGAUGAAGAUCCUCUUCCUCCAAAAAUCAGUUAUGUGAUUUGUUUCUUGAAUUUUGUUCCCUUUCAUACAGCUGUAGUUAAUCCUUUAACUCCCAGAAGUGAUUAACAUGAAACCUCUCCUUAUGAUGUCUACACAUUAUUCAGCAAACAGAAAAGCCACAUCAGUAAAGAAGGAGGAGAGUUCAAAAGCUAUGAAAAGUAGAAUAUUGACCAAUCAGCUUGGACUCAGGUAAGGAAAUUAUGUCUAAUUAUUGAGGGUACCCUAUACUUUUUACAAGAAGGGUGAUUGGGAGAUUUUGUUUUCAGGGGAAUCAUGAUUUCAAUUUUUUUUUUCAUGAAUUUUGAUUAAAGAUGACAUAAUCCUUCCAUUUCCAUCUGAACAGUUUUUUCUUUAUUUAAACGCGACCCAUGAAUGAAGAAUUAUAUGAAUUAAAUGUGAUUGACAAACCAUUUUGUUUCCCUGAUGAAUUUCGGGUUAUUUGAAAGAGCCAAACUUGUAGGAUUAAC